GACGAACGCUGGCGGCGUGCUUAACACAUGCAAGUCGAACGGAAAGGCCCUGCUUUUGUGUGGUGCUCGAGUGGCGAACGGGUGAGUAACACGUGAGUAACCUGCCCUGGACUUUGGGAUAACUUCAGGAAACUGGGGCUAAUACCGGAUAGGAGCUCCUGCUGCAUGGGGGGGGUUGGAAAGUUUCGGCGGUUGGGGAUGGACUUGCGGCUUAUCAGCUUGUGGGUGGGGGAGUGGCUUACCAAGGCUUUGACGGGUAGCCGGCCUGAGAGGGUGACCGGCCACAUUGGGACUGAGAUACGGCCCAGACUCCUACGGGAGGCAGCAGUGGGGAAUAUUGCACAAUGGGCGGAAGCCUGAUGCAGCAACGCCGCGUGCGGGAUGACGGCCUUCGGGUUGUAAACCGCUUUCGGCUGUGACGAAGCGUGAGUGACGGUAAUGGGUAAAGAAGCACCGGCUAACUACGUG
rnacentral:rRNA from 1 species